UUAACUUAUCAACCAUGUUUCAUAUCUGGAACGUGGCUUGGAUGUGGGGGCUCUUUUGCAGGCCCUUAUGGGUCGGCUCCCCUGAAACGCAUUAGUGGCAUCUGAGCUGCUACUGUAGGUGUGAUAAAUUAUCUAUGCCUUUGGUACGCUGCAUGAACAGAUCGCGCUGCUCAGAACCAAAACUUGACAA
rnacentral:misc_RNA from 1 species